UUUUCCUCUAAGAGUUUUAUAGUAUCUUGUCUUAUAUCUAGGUCUUUAAUCCAUUUUGAGUUUAUUUUUGUGUAUGGUGUUAGAGAGUGUUUUAAUUUCAUUCUUUUCCGUGUGGCUGUCCAGUUUUCCCAGCACCACUUAUUGAAGGGGCUGUCUUUCUUGCAUUGUAUAUUCUUUCCUCCUUUGUCAUAGAUUAGUUGACUGUAGGUGAAUUCAUUUAAUUGUUGAUAAAAUAAAAGGUCUGUAGAAAAGAGCUAAAGCAAACUCUUAUUUCCAGCUUUUCUCUUCAGUUCAACAUUGUUCCAUUCAUCAACAAUCUUUGAAUAGAUCUGUCUUAACAAUGUAUCCUUUUUUUUUUUUUUAUGUCUUUUUACCUUUACUUGAGCCACUCCCAUGGCAUGUGGAGGUUCCCAGGCUAAGGGUCCUAUCCGAGCUGUAGCUGCUGGCUUACGCCACAGCCACAGCAGCACGGGAUCUGAGCCACGUCUGCGACCUACACCACAGCUCACGGCAAUGCCAGAUCCUUAACCCCCUGAGCAAGGCCAGGGAUUGAACCUGCAACCUCAUGGUUCCUAGUCAGAUUCGUUAACCACUGUGCCACAAGGGGAACUCCCAACAAUAUAUCCAUCUUAUUGAUUACAUUUCUUUAAAGUGUCCAAAAAGAUAUCAGGAAUGAUCUUUCAAAUCCUUGCAAAAAUAUAAUAUACUGUGUCUACAGUAUUACCAUAUUUUGUGAGGUUAACAAUGCCAUUCAAGAAGGGAGAGUGUUUUGUUUGACCUGACUUACCCAAGGUGAGCUCGUUAUGUCUCUGGAAGGCAAUUCUCUCUAUCUCUCUCUCAGAAACACAUCUAUUUAAUCAUCCAUUCUGGAAUUUUUGUGGGGAGGAAUGUUAAGUUGUCUAGUCUCUAUUUUUUGGGAACCAUCUUUUCUUUUCUCUUUCUUUGGAAAGCAGAAUAUUUGAUUGUCUCAUUAUGAAUAGAAAAGGUCAUUGCUUUGAUACCCCCUUCAUAUAGAGCCUAGAGAUGGAAGACAUGCAAAGGUAUGUAGUGGGUGGGAAAAGUGAUUUUUGGAGGGAAUUUGUUUAGUUACAAAAUGCUUUCUUUAUGAUUUCCUCAUGCCUUUUUAAUAGGGUUGUUAAUAAAUGAUACAUUGAAGAUGAAUAAAUAAUAGAGAACAUCUUCAUUAAUGAGUGAGCAUUUGUGUGCCUGGUGCACUGGAUCCAAACCUGGUUUAUCUCUCUGCUCAUGGUACCAUAGAUACAGCAAAGGGUCUCCUCCUCCCCCAAACCAACAAGGCUGAGAGUGGAACUACUAUAGCUUCUCUGUCAAAAAUAGCUUGGACUCCACAAGUCUGCCUGAAAUUUGAUCAUAAAUACAGGGGGACUAAGAAGACUAAACUUGCCCACAGAUACUCUUACACUGUAAUGAGUAGAGGUCAGUUCUUCAUAGCUUAUAAAGCUAUGGCUUCUUACUAAUGAACAGGCAUCUUUCCUCAAAAGAAGCCGUUUUGCUUCUAAUAAAACACUGGAAAGUAUGAUGGUUAAUUUUAUGUGUCACCUUAGCUAGUCUAUGGUGCCUAGCUGUUUGGCAGCUAGUUUAGAUGUUGUCAUGAAAGUAUUUUAAAGACAUGAUUCACACAAUCAGUAAGCUUUAAGUAAAGGAGAUUGUCCUUGAUAAUGCAGGUGGGCCUCAUCCAGUCAAUUGACAGUCAUAAGGACAAAGAAUUGAGGUUUCCCAGAGAAGAAGGAAUUCAAUGUCGAUGUAGCAUAUGAAUCCUGCCUGAGUUUCCAUCCUCCCCACCGGCCCUGCAGAUUUUAGACUUAAGGCUCUAACUUCAACUCUUGCUUGAAUUUGCAGCCAGCUGGUUUGCCAUACACACAUCCAACUUACCAGCCCCCAAUUUCGCAACUCAAUUUAAGGAAUUUAAUCAAUCUGUAUAUCUAUCAAUUAAUAGGUAUAGAUAGAUAUAAAUAUAAUGUAUAGAUACAGAUAUGCAUCCUUUUGGUUCUGUUUCUGUAGAGAACACUGACUGGCAAGGAAGGUGACUUCCCUCUCUAUGAUCUUCACAUGUGACAUAGGAAGACACACAUGUAGACUGCAUCACUGUUGCCCUUUGGGGUGGCGUUUUUGCUGCUCUGCCCUCUUUUAGUCUUAGCUCUUCAUCAACUCCUGGCAUAGGCCUCCUUACAGCACCUCUGCCCAUUUCUACCCAGGCUUUCUCUCUCAGGUGUUGCCAUGGCUGAACUUGUAGUUAGAGAUAAAACUAAGCUAUGUUAGUAAUUGGCACAUGGGAUGCAAAGUCUAGGAUGAGAAAUAAGCUCUAAAGUGCAGAGUUCCAAGCUGUCUAGAUUUUUACUACAACUUCCAGCCAAAGAGCAAGUUUGUGAGAAACGAGUAACUCCUGGGAAGAAUGAGGAACUGCCAAUGAAAUGCCAUCGACUCUGCCCAUUUUUGAUGCUGCCAAAGAGGUGUCAUCCAUGAGAAAGAGCAGUAAAAGCUAGGAGGAGAGACUCAGCAAAGAACUGAUUGGACUAAUGAAGUCAGUGGAGAGAGAGGAGUGGGAGAGUGGAGGCAGAAACUUAUGUUUAUGAUGUGUCCAUUAUGUGCUAGACACUAUGAAAUGAAAUGCUUUAUAUCAUCUCAUUUAAACCCACUAGAGUCUGAUGAAGUAGCGUUUUUGCUUCAUUCUCAAAGAGCUGAAGUUCAGAAUAUAUAAAUAACUUUGUCUGAUAUCUUAGAUUUUAAGCAACAAAGCCUUGAGUUCCCUGGUGGCCUAGUAGUCAGGGAUCUGGUGUUGUCACUGCUGUGACAUGAGUGAAAUCCCUGGCCUGGGAACUUGUGCAUGCUGUGGCUGGGGGCCAAAAAAAAAAAA
ensembl:lncRNA